GUUUCUGCAGCGCGGUGCUUUAGUACCGUCAGCCUCGCCGCUCCGCGCGGAACUUGUGGACUCCCGGAAUAGUCUCGCGGCGCGCUGUAAAAGUUUUUCACCCGCUCUAGCCGAAAUCGGAGCGAACUAGUGGCUACGCGCGACAAGCGGGACGGCUCGUGUUCGUCGUGCCUUUGGUAGCUCCCGUUCGCACCGAGAUUCCCUCGCACGGGAUUCCCUCCGACCGAUCGACUAAAGAAGACACGUUUCUCGUUCCUCGACGGAAGUGGACACGGAGAACGGACUCGGGAUGGACGAGACGGACGCGUCGAUGAGGGCCGACGACGGCGGCGGCGUUGUCAACAUUAACAACAACAACAACGACGACGAUGAGGCGCCCACCGUUGAAGAAACCUACGAGAUCACCACCACCAGACGCAAGACCAUUCGCACCAGCUACAGGAUCCAGGAGACUUCUUCGUCGACCAAGACAACCACCAUGACGACAGCGGCCAAACUGUACGGCAAGGAUCUGAGCGAGUAUGACGAUAUUGACGUGGAUCAGCUGUUGGCGGAGCUCACGCCGGAGGAGCUCAAUAUAUUGGCCAAGGAAGUGGAUCCCGAUGAUAGCUUUAUGCCACCUUCGCAACGCUGCAGUUAUGAAUGUAAUAAGAGUCCCACAGGGCCGUUGAAUCGCAAGAAGCUCAUUGAGCAUAUCAACAAACAAGCUCUAGAGACACCUGAUAUUCCAGAACUGAAACCAUAUGUACCUGGUACAAUUAGGGGCAAGAAAUGGGUACCUCCACCACAAGAUAAUACGAAGGAAAAGGAGGCGGACGAACAGAUCGCGAUAGAUCUCGGGGAUGAGUAUGAACAAGCGCUUUCGGCUGCUACCCAAGAAGAAAUCAUUGAUCUUGCUGCUAUUCUUGGAUUUCAUUCUAUGAUGAAUCAAGAUCAGUAUCACGCGUCUUUACUGAAUUCUGGACAGCCAGUCGGACUCGGCUGGGAUGGAGUGACAAAGGCUAGUCAACCGAAAGUUUAUCCGAUGGAACCGCCUAACGAUACGGACGUCGACGCUACUAUUAAACAAGUGCGGGACGACGACUCGUCUUUGACUGAUUUAAAUUGGAACAAUAUUAAAAAUAUUUCCGACGAAAAAUUCAUGCAACUGUUCGAAGGUUUGGAAAUGAACACGCAUCUUGAGUCGCUAAGUUUAACCAAUGUUGGACUCAACGACAAGACCGCACAACGGCUGGCAGAUGCCAUAGAGAAAAAUUCGACACUCAGAGUACUCAACGUGGAGACGAAUUUCAUAAGCCCGCCUGUGACAGUAAGGAUGAUCAGGUCCCUUCUUAAAACAAAGUCUAUCGAAGAAUUCCGAUGUUCGAAUCAGAGGUCACAAGUAUUGGGUAAUAAGAUUGAGAUGGAAAUCACACAGUUGGUAGAACAAAACCCGUCGUUGCUGCGACUUGGGUUGCAUCUGGAGUUUAACGACGCGAGACAUCGCGUAGCUGCGCAUCUGCAACGCAACAUCGAUAGGAUCUAUCGUGUGGAACCCAUGGAACGAGCUAAGCUUGUAGCGAUCGCUGGUGGUCCUGCAACCUUCACCGUUCUUCCCGCAGAUGACUUAAAAAAUAGAGCGUAGCGCUGUUGCAGCGCAUACGGCAGUCCCGGCUCGGGGUGGCGACAUCUUAACGCGAAGUGGCGUUCGCCUAGAUCGCCUGCGCCGCAUGGGAAGAUCUUCCCGUAACUACACCAUCGGCUGGGCCAUGCACUGAUGAUGAUCGCCACGACGUUGGCAACAACGACGACGACGACGACCAAGAUGACGACGACAAUGACGAUGAUACGCUGAUAAGCGCGCUCGAGAACGCACCACGCCGUAAAACGGCCUCACACACGCAUACACGUCAUUACGUGACGCAGCGUCGAGUCUCUGGGAAGCGUAGAAUCUUUAUACUCAUGGAACGCGAGGUCCUCUGAAUUCGCUCUGAAAUCGCAUUAAUGGACAAUUGAAAUCAUUCGAUACGAAUGCGCGGAGGAAAAGUCGGAAGCUUCGCAAAUUAUAUGUGGAUGUCUCUCGUCUUUGUUGUGUUCUAAAUAAAUAUAAAAAAAAAAAUAUAUAUAUAUAUACAAUAUAAAUAUAUAUUCCUGCAUCACAUACAGAGCUAUACCGCGCGAAAGAUACUCCAAUGACGCGUCAUGAUGUAAUGAUAAAUAAAUUUAGACCGUCGAAUGAAUGUAUCGAUAAUGUUAAUUGAUAUUACACAGAUAUGUACACAUAUACACGUUGUAUACAUGCUACAACGUAUAUAUAAUUGUUAAGUCGUCGGAGAUAAGUUUCCUAGAUGGAACAAUAAGAAAGGCAAACGUGAGAGGAGCCGAAGGGACAACCUUUUUGAUAUGAUGUAUACGCGCCGUUCGCAUUAAACGGCUGCUUAACCGGUUUAUUUAAAUAUUUAUAUACAGAGGGGAGAGAGGAGUUCUUUUAUUAAUUCGACCAAACUUUUAACCGAGUGAGCGAUCGGGUACAAACUGUUCUGUGUUCUUCUUAUGUUAUUUUUUUCUCUCCUUUUUUGCAAUAAAAAAGCUAUCUUUUUCUUUAUACUAUUUCUUACCGUUUAAAACAAUUCGUCAUUUUUCAUGCAUUAGAAUAAGCGAAUAGCUAUGUCCAAAUGUGUGAAUAAGGUAAGUAUCAAAACAUUCAUAAAGAAUUUGUAAAGAUAAAAUUCCUCAAAUCAAAAUAAUUGAAUGUAAAAUAACAAGAAUUGAUACGAUUUUAUUAUUUUUAAUCCAAGUUUCUAUAAUAUGUUCUCUAAUCAUCUCCGCAUUGGAUAUUUUAAAUAUUAUUUAUCAUUUAAGCGGCAUUGUUGACGAUAUCAAUAUUGCCCUAGAAUGCGAUGCAUCCGCGGCAAUGCCCAAAAUUAAUUAAUUACGAACAAUAUUCUCAUUAGAUGCAAAUAAAGAGCGAUACCACCGACCCGAUCGUUCCGCUCGGCAUGUAAUGUCACUGUAAUAUUCGCUAAGGUACUAACUCGUUUAAAUUAAUAAUUAUUUAGCAUAUAUACAUGUAUACAAUCAAUCUGUACAUAUUGUCUUCAAUGUCGUUUCUAAUCGAUCGAUGUGACCUACGUAUUGUAAUGAGAGAGAAUGAAUUUAUUAUAACGCGUGCGAGGGAGAAUGGCAUAAUUGUCUUUGUGUCCAUGCGAGUACGAAUGAGAGUGAGAGAAAGGGACGGGAAGAUGAAUGGGUGAAGAUGAUUUAUCCGGAAUAGUCUUGAGUCCAUUUUCACCAAUGUAGAUUAACUUUAAUUUCGAACGUAAUGUAGCAUAGUAAAAUAAUUGUGGCUACGAGCUCUAUUUUUAUAAUUAUUACUGCUAUAAUGUUAGAAUAAUCUUGUGUUUAUAGUUCUACCGACUAUGGAAAAAUUUUACUAUAAAUUAUGUUAAUUUUAAGUAUUAAUGUAGUAAAAUAUUAAAAUAUGAAUACCAAAAAUAAAAUUAACAUUUUUAUGUAGUAAACUAUUUUUCUUAACAUUUGCUUACUAUUUGCGCAAUAAUUACAACUGAUAACUAUAAUUUGCGUGGUUAAAACAAUUAUAUAACUGACACCAAAAAUAAUUAUGGAUUAUAGGUAAGUUAUGAUAAUUGCCAUUUUUUCUUUCAGUAUAAUUCAAAGAAUUAUAAAAAAAAUAAAAUGCAGAUUAAAAAGAUUGAAGUUAAUUUACACUGGUGAAAAUGGAUAUUGCUGAUGUAGAUCACGCUGGUUGUCAUCCCCGUCGUGUUGUAUGCAUUCGGGAUAACUGAAUUCACGAAAAUAUGAGCAGAUCAAUGCUGUUGCGCCGUUGAACAGAACUGUAGAGUUAUAGAGAGAGAUUUUAUAUCCUCAUGUUCCGUGAGGAUAUGAAAUCAAUCCGAACUGUCGCAACUAACUCGACAGAUAAUAAUUUAAGUAACCCGCACUUUCGGAACGCGUGCCGACUUUUUAGCUCCAUUGACUCCAAGAAUCUUCGAGUUCCUCGCUCAGGUUCUUCUGUGUUCUACGCUUUUCCGUAAACGAUAUGCAAAGUUCUUCUUGGUAAGCGUAGUGGAUCGUGAUGGCGAAAAGAAAAUAAUAUCAAUAACGAAAGAAUAUAUUGUAAUUUGAUUCGCUCGCAGCUUUUCGGCGAUCUUUAUUGUAAACAUGUUAUAUUCACAUAUGUACUCUGUCACACGCGUCACAUUACUUUACACGUACAACACACGAAACCCAAAUGCACGCGCACGAUCAAAGCCUUGCUGCUAGCCUUAUCUUGUAACACGAGGUUUAAAAUAAACUGCUGAAAAAACGUA